CUUUCUGUGAACACAUGCUGUGUAGGAGCACUUAUCUGCUUUUGACAUUCCACACUCCUUGCAACCUGGGCCUCACAGCUUUUGGAAAGAACAGUCUGCCAUCUUCAUCAGUCUCACCUUUCCUGAAGAAAAACAGAAGUUACUUGUGCCACAUGGAUGCCACAGCACUGGGAUGGCAACUUUUAAUAUGCAUGGAAGUGCCCAGACAGGUUUUUCAUGGAGCCUGCUUCGUGACUGCAAUCAGAAGAUCUGUGAUGCACAUUCAGCAUGCCUAAAGUUCUGCAACUGAAGUUUUAUUUUACCAUUCUAACUUGUCUUUUCAAAAACUUCUUCCCUUUUACCUCCUUUUCUGCUGCUAAUAGUGGAUGGCAGCUGUCUCGAGACCUCGGCGCUCCAUGCUUCUCUUGUCAAUGAGAGUGUUUUCCUGUUGGCAUUGACAGGCAGAAAUAUUUUCAUGCCAUCCUUAUGAAGUUUCCUCUGAUGGACUGGAUGAGUGCAACUGUUAGCUCUCUUAACUGAUUCCACUCUUAUUUUUAAUUUGUGACUUUACAGCUCAAGAAUAUAUUUUCACAUUUAUCCCAGCUGUCUCUCCAACACAGAGAAGGGUGUGUGCAUCCUGUGUAAGGGACCAAGCACAGGAAUGCACUGUGUGAAGUUAUCUGCUGUUAAUAAAACCAGCUUAUCAUAGCA
rnacentral:lncRNA from 1 species